GCGUACUGGGGUCGCUCUGUUUGUUCCGGAGCAACCUGAUAGCAUACUCAGUUAGCUCUGUCCGCUCACGGAGCGACUCGAUGACGGACAUAGGUCACUCCGGAGCGAACCUCCGGUGAACCUUGGCGAAACGUCGCCCGGGAGCCUGACGAAGCUCAGCGACCCACCGAGCGCGACCCUCCGCGAACCGAUAGCAUACCGAAACCAUACUAAAAGCAAACAAAUCUUUUUGCGUCGGGUUCACCAGUGCCUGCACUUCUUUGCCUACAAUCUUCAUUCAAAACACUAUCUAAGGACUUUAAAGGUAUGCUCAGUUUCACUCAAGACACAAGUAUUUAAAGUGAAAGAUAACCUCACUCUACUCCCAGCCAGAAAUGCACCCAUGUUUAUCAACGUCGACGUUUAAUCAACGUAGAGUCGACUUUCAAUUUCUGGCUGGGUACUCUGGGUGGACGAGGUUGCUUUGUGCUAUUUGGAAAUAACAGAGAGUGAGUUAUGAAAAUAGAUGGCUAUUCAGUGGAGGAUAUAAGAGUAUAGGGCUUUUCGUAGUCGGACUUAAGUUGCUGUAGAGAGUGAUGUUGUUCAUUUAAGUUACUUCUAAUGAUAGAUGUCAUUUAUCUACUUUGUAGUAUUUUUCAUUGACAACUUCUACUUGCAAAUUUUUGGCAAGGGUAUUGGUAUUUCCAAACUUGUGGCGGUGUCUUUGUUAUUGCCAACACAAAGGCUUUAUGUCGGAAGCUACUUGCAAGUGUGUCUUACGGAUAAUCCUCUUACAUUUCCGUAUUUAGCGUUUGAAACAUCAUUUCCUUUUGUGAGGCGAUGACUGCUUCCAUUUAUUGGCGGUGACUAUUUGAACUUCCAGUUUAUUGGCGAUGUCAAUUAUGACUUCCAAGUGCUGGGCAAUGACUAUCUUAUCGCCAACAUCAAGGCUUAAAACUUUGAGUUGUCGCCCCAUUUGUGGCAAUGUACAUCGCCUUUAAAAUAACAUACAUGGGUGUACGAGUUAGUACGCAAGUGAUUACCCCCUCGUCGGAAGCCCUUGGGAGGGGAGGCGUAUCAGAUAGGAUCACAUGAGGAAAUAUACUAUGGUCAAGCAGGAAUCUGGCCAGAUACAGGCCCUUCCAUCCCGGAUUGGCUUUGAGUUCGGCUCUCGUUGGGAGGCUACAUGUCGAUGGGGCUGUGGUGACGGAACUUCAUGGGUUUCACGCCUCUCAUGAUUGCAAGCAAAGAUGGCAACGUACAAUGCAUGGAAGAACUACUUAUGCUGCAUAGCGAUGACUCCACGAGAAGCAGAGUACAGGCAGCCGACCCAUUUCUGAUUCCACACUUCCCCCCGAACCUUUCUGGCUCCACCUCGCUGCACCUUGCCGCUCAGAAUGGCCAUGCUACCGCUGUCAAGUUGCUGCUGAGUGUUGCGCCGACUCUUGUUCACGUAGCUGAUCGCUCUGGACUUACGCCUUUAGAGACUGCGUCAAUCUGCAUGCCGACUACCAAGGGUUGCCUGGAAUGUUGCCAGCACAAAACUGGUAGGGAAUGAAGAUGAAGAGGACGAAAUAAUCUUUCGAACGAACUUACACCGAAGUCGAUACGACAAGUCUGUCAGACGCAGCGUCGCAUCAUAGAAAUAAGAGCUAGUUUGGUGCCGGUCCCGGUCUCCGCUUUCAACAACAACAACAAUCCCAGCCCAGCUGACUGAGACUGGAGUGACGGCCAAGGCCGCACAGCUGAGAAGUGUGCUAAGGCUGAAAUUUUCUAUUUUGUUCAGUUUUACAGUUUUAGUACGGCUCAGAGAACUUUUCCCGAAAGACGCGACGACCCCUGAAUACCAAAUGAUGUUCACAGAAGGUAUUUAAUUCUCACCAACGAAAUGUUCUGGCGACCAGCUGAUGCUUUAGAGGGUUAUGAUAUGGUACAUUGGUAAGAAAACAACUUUAACAGGUUGACAUUCUGGCAAGCAAUUGACUUGCACUUGACAGUGAAACAAUCUUUAAUUUCAAGUAUGUAUGUUGUGCUUUCAAUUUUUUUUAUCAAUCUUGUGAGAACUAUAUUAUUUUCACUUUGUUAACUUUGUUGACUAGACCAAAACAUUUGUACUUUGGUAAUUUUGUCUAACAUUUAUCUUCUAAACUGGCACAAUUUUGAAUUUUUUAAUUACGUCUUUCAUCCUUUUCCUUUUGUCAGAAUCUUCCAUUUUUGUCCUGUUAUAUUGCUUACAAGUGAAAAUCAUUCUUGUUGUAAUAUAAAAGCGAAUUAUGUCCUUGGUUAGCUGUCUUUGGUGCUCCUCACAACCAACUGGUGUAUAGGAAUGCACUUUUGCAUUGUCAACGACUGGAAAAAAAUAAUAACUCUAGGAAAUAAUAUCUGUUGAGCUGAGAAGGGCAUUCAACAUUUCUCCACCAGUUAUAUUGCUUCCCCGAGGAGGUUUAAGGCGUUUACACCGCCCGAGUUGCAAGCGAAAUCCGCUAGGGCUCGCCACUGUCGGCAGCGCAGCGGCUAGGCUGGCAGAGUGGCUGCCGGCGGCCGCUGCCAGCUCGGUGCGGGAGGCUGUCAUAGUUGGUCAAACAUCCCAGGACCCCAAUAAGUGAAUAGACUAUGCAGGGCUACUGGCUGGACGCUACCUGGACGUGGACGUGGUCGAGUCGGCCGACAGGAGUCGCGAGAACAAAAGGUGUCCCCCUCCCCCUCCCCUCCCACGCACUGCACCGCUGCAGCGGGGUGCGGGUGCGCUGUGCUGAGGACGGCGGACCGGACAGGCGAGCGAGCGCGGCCUGGCCCGGGGCUCCAGCCGGCGGCUCUCGGCUAAGUCCUGGGAGUCGAUUCCGUUCAAAAAUUUACUUAUUUCAAGAUAUAUAUAAAAAUGAUCGGCGUUUCACACACUGCAAAACAAGCCCCACUUUGCAGAUGCAUUUAAAAAAAAGUU